rnacentral:rRNA from 1 species
GGGGGGGGGUGGGGGGGGGGGUGGGACGUGGGGGGCGGGCGAGCGGGCGGGGGGCGGGCGCGGGGGGCGUUAGCGGCGGACGGGGGGGUGACACGUGGAGAACCUACCUAUCAGACUUGUAUAACUUCGUGAAACCGGCGCUAAUCCCGGAUAAUAUCUUCAACCGCCUGGUUCAAUAGUAAACAACGGUUUUGCUGCCACUUGUAGGUGGAUCCGCUCCGCAUUAGCUAGUUGGUAAGGUAACGGCUUACCAAGGCGACGAUGCGUAGCCGCCUUGAGAGGGUGAUCGGCCACACUGGACCUGAGACACGGUCCAGACUCCUACGGGAGGCAGCAGUAGGUAAUCUUCAGCAAUGGGCGAAAGCCUGAAGGAGCAACGCCGCGUGAGUGAUGAAGGUCUUCGGAUCGUAAAACUCUGUUAUUAGGUAAGAACAAAUGUGUAAGUAACUAUGCACGUCUUGACGGUACCUACUCAGAAAGCCACGGCUAACUGCGU